rnacentral:rRNA from 1 species
GGAGUUAGCCGGUGCUUCUUCUGUGAGUGAUGUCCUUCCUGCCGGCUAUUAACCCGCAGGCCUUCUUCCUCACUGAAAGUGCUUUACAACCCGAAGGCCUUCUUCACACACGCGGCAUGGCUGGAUCAGGGUUGCCCCCAUUGUCCAAUAUUCCCCACUGCUGCCUCCCGUAGGAGUCUGGGCCGUGUCUCAGUCCCAGUGUGGCUGAUCAUCCUCUCAGACCAGCUACGGAUCGUCGCAUUGGUGAGCCGUUACCUCACCAACCAGCUAAUCCGACAUAGGCUCAUCCGAUAGCGCGAGGCCCGAAGGUCCCCCGCUUUCCCCCGUAGGGCGUAUGCGGUAUUAGCCUGGGUUUCCCCAGGUUAUCCCCCACUACCGGGCAGAUUCCUAUGCAUUACUCACCCGUCCGCCGCUCGCCACCAGGGAGCAAGCUCCCCGUGCUGCCGCUCGACUUGCAUGUGUUAGGCCUGCCGCCAGCGUUCAAUCUGAGCCANAGAUACAACUCUGA